GUCCACUGUAGUGCACACAGUGACGUCAUAAACAUGAGCAUAUUAUUUAUUUUGUGUGCGGUGUGCAUGGUGGCGGCCGUACCUGAGCAUGGACAUAGAGAAAGGAGAGAGAUAGAACGUAGACAGUAUAAGUUUGGAGGACCCAUGGCUCCUCCGCCGCCUCCUCCUAUGAUUAAUUACAGGAGGCUGCAAACCUAUUACCGGGCUGGCGACACCCGGCGACCUCCGCGCCCAAAACGGCGACCAAAUCGGCGACCAAUGCGCCGGCGACCAACCGUGCCUGAACCGUUUAUGUUUUAUAUCCCUACGCGUUACUAAUUUAAGCUUAUAAUCUGGAGAUGUGCUAUUUUUAUUAAUAAAUCUAGAUACUCCAUGA